UACGUAGGGUGCAAGCGUUAUCCGGAAUUAUUGGGCGUAAAGAGCUCGUAGGCGGUUUGGUAAGUCAGGUGUGAAAUCUCCACGCUCAACGUGGAGGGGCCACCUGAUACUGCCAUGACUGGAGUCCGGUAGAGGAGUGUGGAAUUCCUGGUGUAGCGGUGAAAUGCGCAGAUAUCUGGAGGAACACCGGUGGCGAAGGCAGCCUUCUGGGCCAAUACUGACGCUCAUGCACGAAAGCGUGGGGAGCAAACAGG
rnacentral:rRNA from 1 species